rnacentral:lncRNA from 1 species
CACCACCGCCAACGCCGCCACCCACGCCACCAACUCCACCAAGCCCACUUGAACCACCGAGCCCACUAGCACCACCGAGGCCACCGACUCCACCAAUUCCUCCAAGCCCACCAGCACCACCGAGGCCAGUAAUCCCACCAAGACCUCCAACUCCACCAAACGGAAGCCCAUUAGAACCAAUGCCGGAGAAGCCACCAACACCACCGUAUGUUAGAAAGUUCUUUUGAUCAUCAAGGCCAGCAUCAGUGGGCGCACUUUUGGCAGUGUUAUGAACCACUUGAUCAUCAUGAUCACUAGGCGUAUUUCUUGCACUAGUGUGAACCGCUGCUACAGCAAGAACAAGCAUGACAUUGGCACACCACUUUGCCAUCUCUCUCAAAGAUUAUUAUUAUUUGAUUACUAUUAUGAAUUUUUCUUCUUAGUACAUGUGAACUAUUGUUGCGGGAGUCUCCUUAUAAAGGCUAAGAGGGCAUUGGGGAGGUAGUUGUGGGUAGUAAAUAGAAUUGAAUGCGGGCAACUUAGCUGGCACACUCGCUCAUAAGGUCUGCUGUUUGAAAUAUAUAUUUUCAAGGAUUUGUGCUUAGAGUAAAAUUGUUAUAGGAGUCAUCGUAAUGGUUUAAACGCCUGCUGUACGGCCAAGGCGGAUGUACGGUACAGCAGAAAUUUUGUUUUCAGAAGUACUGCAAGUUUUAAAAACAAUUAUGGACGUUUGAUAAAUUUUACUAUUAAACUGCUGAGAGUAAGUAAAUGAUUAAAAUAUAAAUAAUAUAGGAUAAAAUUUACUUAUACAUGUGAAAACACGUACACACAAUAUUUUUAAUUUUGUAUGAUGAUAAUUUUAACUAAAAAUAAAAUUUAUAAUAUAUAUUGAUUUUAUUUUUUAUCGUAAACAAUUGAUAAUUAAAUUUAUAAUAUAGUGAAACAAAUUUAAUAAUAAAUCGACCAACAAAUAUUGAUGAAUCAUAAUAAAAAUUUACUAAAAUAUUGGUUUUGUUUCCAAUUGAAUAAGAAUAAUUUUGGGUUUAGGUAAUAAUUUUAAAGAUAUUGAUGGAAUUGUAUUAAAGGAUAAAAUUGAUUUUUAAAAUCAGAAUCUAAAAGCUACUUCUUACUUACUUUUCAAAAUCAUCUGUAGUAGAGGCUGAUUUUGACAAAAGUGAUUUUGAUUUUUUUUUUUUACCAAACACUAAAAUUAACUUUUAGAUUUUUAAAAUUAGUUUUAAAUCUCCUAAAAGCAAUCCCAAAUAGAGCCUAACUCUAUUAUAAAUUCUUAAUUAAUAGCUCAUCUAAUAUUUGGUGUUAAAACAUGGACAAAAUAUCACAAAUUGGUAGGUAAAUUUGGACAUUUCAUUUCCACGACAUAUAGUCAAGUUUAAGGCUGUGGCCCGACAAAUUAAUGACCUUACUUUGCUUAGUGUAACGUAAUGCAUGAGCUUCGAUAACUUCAUAUGUAAACUUUAGUUGCUUUCGUUAAAGUUCUAUAACAUCAGUCAUCUCCAUUUAAAAGACAGAAGAAGAAGAAGAUAAAACACGCGAUUUAAUUAUUUACGUCGAAUAUCUCUGAAGUAGAGAAUUACAUUACAAUAACAUACCAAAAGCUCUCAAAACUAAAACUCAAAAGCAAACAGUAACUGAAACCAAAGUAAACGAACUAUCACACGAACAUGGCAUUAAAACUAAACUUUCUUAAUAACGCGCACGGGAAUAACGUGCACGGGAAACCCUCAAACAGGAAAAACCUUGAUUAAUUAAAAGCAAGUAAAGAAGCCCUAAUGUCUUCUAAGGCUCCAACUAUUUCAAGGGAAAGGAAGCACUCCAGUGCCAAUGCCAACUCCACCGGCAGAACCACCACCAACGCCGCCACCAGCACCACCUCCAACGCCGCCGCCACCGCCAACGCCGCCACCCACGCCACCAACUCCACCAAGCCCACUUGAACCACCGAGCCCACUAGCACCACCGAGGCCACCGACUCCACCAAUUCCUCCAAGCCCACCAGCACCACCGAGGCCAGUAAUCCCACCAAGACCUCCAACUCCACCAAACGGAAGCCCAUUAGAACCAAUGCCGGAGAAGCCACCAACACCACCGUAUGUUAGAAAGUUCUUUUGAUCAUCAAGGCCAGCAUCAGUGGGCGCACUUUUGGCAGUGUUAUGAACCACUUGAUCAUCAUGAUCACUAGGCGUAUUUCUUGCACUAGUGUGAACCGCUGCUACAGCAAGAACAAGCAUGACAUUGGCACACCACUUUGCCAUCUCUCUCAAAGAUUAUUAUUAUUUGAUUACUAUUAUGAAUUUUUCUUCUUAGUACAUGUGAACUAUUGUUGCGGGAGUCUCCUUAUAAAGGCUAAGAGGGCAUUGGGGAGGUAGUUGUGGGUAGUAAAUAGAAUUGAAUGCGGGCAACUUAGCUGGCACACUCGCUCAUAAGGUCUGCUGUUUGAAAUAUAUAUUUUCAAGGAUUUGUGCUUAGAGUAAAAUUGUUAUAGGAGUCAUCGUAAUGGUUUAAACGCUUGGGGUACCAGCUGAAAGAAAGUUACUGCGAUGGCCAGAGUGGCAAAUGCAGAAAUAAACAUGCAUGCCAGAUAUGGUGGUGACAAAUGAAAUGCUGAUUAGGGAUGUGGCGUUCGGGCAUGUGAUAUGCAGAGAAACAUUUGCCCAACCAAUCAAGUAAUUACAUUUGGUUGGAAGAAAAGGGCCGAUGUGAAGUGAUUGACUCAAUUCUGGGCAUUAUUAAUUUCCUGGACCAUUUCCAAUGACAUGAAAAAUUUUAAACUGUGUGUGACAAGGAACCUUACCUUUUGAGUUUUGAGAGGAAAUGCAAAUCCUAAUUAAGCUGUGAAAAAGUAAAAUUAAAUGUUCUUGCGUUGCGGAGAAUUAAGUAAAAAGUCAUCGAGCCUUUUCACUGAGCUGUAGUCCAUAACUCAUAAUACGUAGUAGCACGUGGUCAAUUCUAAACAUCAAUUUUUUUUUAUUAAAAAAAACUCUAAACAUUGAAUUAAUUUGCAAGAAAUAUUUCUUUUUUUUUUUUCAUCUUGGUAUUAGACUUCUAUAUCAAACAUUUUCUACUGUCAUUAUACUUUUUAUUCUACUAAUUAAUUUGCUUAUCUAAUCUAAAAGAAAAAAAAUUCUUAUCUCAACUAAAUUUGCGUGUUUUGGUUACUUUACUCACUCACUUUGUCAAUCUAGUUUUCUCUAACUAAAGACUUUUAGUUAACAUGUACUGACACAUUAAUUUAAUGGUAAAAUCUGUCCAAUCCUUUGGGACCAUCGUAAUUCAAGAGUUUGGAAAAAGUUAAACACUAUUUGCACACAAAAUUAUAAAUAAAAAUGAAUUAAUAAAUUUGUACAAUUUUAUAUGCAAGUAGCAUUACUCAUGGCAAAAUUUGAAGCAGUUAAUGGUUUUAUAUAGGGUAAGUUGAUUAUUAAAGAAUUAGAUUGUUUUGUUAAAUCUGAUUGGUGGUUAUUAAAUAUAAAGUUUCCAUUCAAUAUUUUAAUUUACUGUUGAGUUGCAUUAAAUAUUGGUUGGUCAAUGGAAGUCAGCUGCUAAAUUCAAUGUCGACCUACAUUCAAUCUCUACCUAACAAGUUUAAUUUGGGAUCGGAUACCUGCACAUUCUAAGUCCACCCCAAAUAUUACACUCCACCAUUCCCAACUCUUUACACCUAAAUUGAGAAAAUCGUUUGGAGAAAAUAUUGGUCAACACUAAUUGAAUCGUUGACUUAAACUAUAGGAAAUAAUAGAACAUUUACAACUGAGAAAAGUUUAGUAACACGACACAUAAAUUCUCCACCAGUUUUAUUUUUUCCUCUAUGUAUAGUAGUGUCUUUCAGCUAUAGGAUCAUUUUUCUAAUAUAUAAAUUAUCAUUAAAAUACAUGCUUAUUGAUAACGUAUUAUCAGUUUUGAUAUUCAGUUAUUGAUUCACCGAUCAUCCAAUUGAAGAAACGUGUUUUCAUUUCUUGAAUAAAACAUUAUACACUGAGAGUUAUUUAUAGAUGCAGAUGCUACAUUUUUUCAAAGAUUACAUAUGUAAAUACGGAAGGAAAUAGGUCUGUGUUGUGCGCGAGAGCUGGGCUGACGCUGGUGCUGCGUUGCGUUGCGCGCGCGGGACUGAUGUACUGCGCGAGGGUGAUUGCUGGAUUGAUUUGCGCUGUGCGCGCGAGCUGGAGCUGAGGAUCUGCGUUGCUAGGCGUUACUGCUGCUGCUUCGCGGGAUGUGUUGCGUGCACGGUUGCUGCUGAUUUCGCACAAUGGUGAUGGCUGGGGCUUGCUGCGUUGCACGCGGCUGCUUUCGCUGGUGGGACUUCGUUGCGCGCUGCUGGGCUGCGAGACACGGGAUGCUGGUGUUGCGCUCACGAGAUGGUGCGUUUUCCGGCGGGCUGGUUUGCUGCUGGUGUGCUGCAAGCGGCUGGAGAAGAAAACAAGUUCUGGAAAAUUAGGGAUUUUGUGAACAGUGAAUAGUGAACAGUGAUUUUCGAUUUUUGGUUUUUUUUUAAAUAAAUAAACAUAAUCAUUAAAGAACAUAUAUGGGAAUUAAAUAAAUAAAUAAAAUAAUUAUUUCAUUGAAUAGGGUUUCAUCUUUAACCUCAGUAUAAGAAAAUUAGCUGGACAUACUUAAAUUGGGAGCAACAAAAAAAAUAAAAUCAGCCAUGGGAAGCCGAAAUAUUGCUGCUGCAACUGGUCUCUUCCAACCUGACAUACUUGAAUUGGGAGCAACAAAAGAAAUAAAAUCAGCCAUGGGAAGCUUCCUUUUCCAAUUAUGAAACAAAGCUUCCAUAAUAACGCCAGCCAUUAAUUCCACUUUUGAAAGUCAAGUGUGGGCCCCAUUUAAAUUGCUUUCCCCUUUUGCAAUGCUAUGGACGUGCAACUCAAUUGGAGAAUUGAAAUUCUUUUUCAAUGCAAAUUGCUCUUAGCUCUUAACUCUAUCACAGCUUCAACUAAUAUUUCUCUAAAUUAUUAUUUUUUUUGCACUUUUUAUUUCCAAUCUCCAAUUAAUUUCCUAUUCAAUAAAACAAUUCAAUUAAUUAAAAAUAACAAAUAAAAUUAACUAGCAAAUAUACAAUAAAGGGUAAAAUAUGUAUAUAAAUUAUGCUCAUCACAUUGCUUAAUAUUUAUUAUUAUGGUUGGUUGAAUUAUAUACAUGGCAAUUAAUGAAUGAAAAUACAGGUGCUCCUGAAUCCCAAAACAUUUCCACGACAUAUAGUCAAGUUUAAGGCUGUGGCCCGACAAAUUAAUGACCUUACUUUGCUUAGUGUAACAUAAUGCAUGAGCUUCGAUAACUUCAUAUGUAAACUUUAGUUGCUUUAGCUAAGGUUCUAUAACAUCAGUCAUCUCCAUUUAAAAGACAGAAGAAGAAGAUAAAACACGCGAUUAAAUUAUUUACGUCGAAUAUCUCUGAAGUAGAGAAUUACAUUACGAUAACAUACCAGAAGCUCUCAAAGCUAAAAAUCAAAAGCAAACAGUAACUGAAGCCGAAGUAAACGAACUAUCACACGAACAUGACAUUAAACUAAACUUUCUUAAUAACGUGCACGGGAAACCCUCAAACAGGAAAAACCUUGAUUAAUUAAAAGCAAGUAAAGAAGCCCUAAUGUCUUCUAAGGCUCCAACUAUUUCAAUGGAAAGGAAGCACUCCGGUGCCAGUGCCAACUCCACCGGCAGAACCACCACCAACGCCGCCACCAGCACCACCGCCAACGCCGCCACCCACGCCACCAACUCCACCAAGCCCACUUGAACCACCGAGACCACCGACUCCACCAAUUCCUCCAAGCCCACCAGCACCACCGAGGCCAGUAACGCCAGCAAGACCUCCAACUCCACCAAGCGGAAGCCCAUUAGAACCAAUGCCGGAGAAGCCACUGACACCACCGUAUGUUAGAAAGUUCUUUUGAUCAUCAAGGCCAGCACCAGAGGGUGCAUUUUUGGCAGCGUUAUGAACCACUUGAUCAUCAUGAUCACUAGGCGUGUUUCUUGCACUAGUGUGAACCGCUACUACAGCAAGAACAAGCAUGACAGUGACACACCACUUUGCCAUCUCUCUAUAAGAUU